ensembl:lncRNA
UUAUUAUUAUUAUUAUUAUUAUUAUUAUUAUUAUUAUUAUUAGAUAUAAGUUAAUGUAAGAACCAGUGUGAUACUGUGAUGUAAGAAAAGCCUUAAGCCCUACACCCUACCCAGUGCACUACAACUUCCGGUUUGGACUCGGACUGACUCCGGAUCAGCAGGUGUCGCUAAUGAGCCGCGAAUGGAAAAACACCAGGAAGUCUCAGACACAGAGAGAUAGGAAGAGAGAGACAGCGAGAGCGAGAGCGAGAGAGAGCUGCAGUUUAUAAACCCAGCGCUCAGCUUCACGUUCGUCCAGGAAACAUUUCUAAACCUCCGAGAAUCCAGUCAGGAAGCGAAUAAAAUGGAGGCGUUCAGUACAGGAAGUGAGAUUAGCAUUAGCUUGUGUCUGAGCAACACAGCAGCCUGGAGCAGAGGCACAGAGAUCCACACUGCAGCUUAACACACUCAUUUAAACUCCUCAUUCAUUCAUUCAUUCAUUCAUUCAUUCAUUCAUUCAUCCAUCCAUCCAUUCAUUCAUCACCCUUCGGUCAACACUUUACACCGCUCCGGAGUCAGGAGGAAACCUGGGGUUUGUUCAGAUUCUGCUCUUCAGUCAUUCACUUCCGGAUUAGCAGAAGAAGUCUUCCCUCGUCUGUCUCUGGUGUCGAUCAGACCUGCUGUGAUCUUCACUGGGAUCUGCUCCAGAUGAAUGGAGGAGAAAGUCAGGCUUUGAAAGUGUCACUUUAAACCCUUUCUGUUCCCCCUCGGAUAGAUGAGUGCAGGGAUUUCAGUCCUACAGCCUCCUGCCACAAACUACAGGCAUUCUUUUUUUAAUCUCUUCACCACUCUACUGGUUUAAGUAAGGCAUACAAACAACAACAACAACAACCCUGUGUUGUGCUGUUCGAGGAAAAUAAUCAACGACGAGCACGGAUGGUGUGAUAUUGAUUCUCCAACACCAGCGCGUCCUGCACUGCUUUAUUCCUCUUGUACUGCACUGAUCUACCCAUGAUUACGAUCUGUAUUUAUUAACGAGCGGCACGUGGUGCUUUUUAUCCGCCUAUAGCUACGUUUAACGGCGCGGAACGUCCACGAAACAAGUUAUAGCCGCGAUAAACGGUCGUGUUUUUUUUUUUUUUUUACCAGCUCACUCGUCGCUGGCUCUCUCCAGACAGUGUCCGAUCCGUCCCGUCACGAGAUACCGCCAAAACCACCCGCUUUCACAGGAAGAGGGCUUUCGACCGACGUUCGCAGACGACCGAUCACGUCCGGUCUUGCUGUAAAAUUCCGAUCACUGUAUCAGGUCUAGACGACGAGUAAGGAAUGAAACGCGUGGGGACGUGCAGUCGUGGGAAAAUGAUCAACAGCGGGCCGGUUUGGAGACGCGGCGUCACUGUGACCACUCGGAACAGGAUCGUUCUCCUUUAACCGCACGUCCUGCUGUGUUUUAUUCC